UAUGUGAUCGUCUCUCGCAUAUCAAUAAGCGGAGGAAAAGAAACUAACAAGGAUUCCCCUAGUAACGGCGAGUGAAGCGGGAAGAGCUCAAAUUUGAAAUCUUAAAGGGUUUCCCUUUACGAAUUGUAGUUUAAAGAAGUGUUUUCUGUUGAGGUUUUGGUAAAAGUUCUUUGGAAUAGGACAUCAUAGAGGGUGAGAAUCCCGUAUUUGACCUUUACUUUUCAACUUUGUGAUACACUUUCAAAGAGUCGGAUUGUUUGGGAAUGCAGUCCAAAAUGGGUGGUAAAUUUCAUCUAAAGCUAAAUAUUGGCGAGGAGACCGAUAGCGAACAAGUACCGUGAGGGAAAGAUGAAAAGAACUUUGAAAAGAGAGUUAACCAGUACGUGAAAUUGUCAAAAGGGAAGCGUUUGACAUCCAGUGUUGUUUUUCUGAAAAUCAAUUAAAGAACUGUUUAUGCUAAGCUGUUUAGACUUUAUCAGCUAUCUGUUUAGUUUUGAGCUUUUCUUUAAUGCACUUUUCAGUUAACAAGUCAACAUCAAUUUCUUUUGCUGUAAAAAAGCUUGAGGAAGGUGGCUUGAGAUUCGUCUUAAGUGUUUAUAGCCUCUUGCCUAUGCAGUCGGAGAGAUUGAGGUCUGCAGCGUAGAUCCUUCGGGGCUAAAUGCAUUUGUGCUAAGUUAUAGCAUUUUAUAGACAACUUGUUGACUAUGAUUUGUCUUGUAGCUUACUCGCUUAUGUUAUUUUACCUACGCUUAGGAUGUUGAGCGCAUGUCUCUCUCU
rnacentral:rRNA from 1 species